rnacentral:rRNA from 1 species
ACUCCUACGGGAGGCAGCAGUGGGGAAUAUUGCACAAUGGGCGCAAGCCUGAUGCAGCCAUGCCGCGUGUAUGAAGAAGGCCUUCGGGUUGUAAAGUACUUUCAGCAGUGAGGAAGGUAGUGUAGUUAAUAGCUGCAUUAUUUGACGUUAGCUGCAGAAGAAGCACCGGCUAACUCCGUGCCAGCAGCCGCGGUAAUACGGAGGAUCCAAGCGUUAUCCGGAAUCAUUGGGUUUAAAGGGUCCGUAGGUGGAUGAUUAAGUCAGAGGUGAAAUCCUGCAGCUCAACUGUAGAAUUGCCUUUGAUACUGGUUGUCUUGAAUUAUUGUGAAGUAGUUAGAAUAUGUGGUGUAGCGGUGAAAAUGCAUAGAUAUCACAUAGAAUACCGAUUGCGAAGGCAGAUUACUAACAAUACAUUGACACUGAUGGACGAAAGCGUGGGGAGCGAACAGGAUUAGAUACCCUGGUAGGAUAGCGU